UCACUGCUGUGGGGGCGGUAUGUCUGGACGAUACGGCCUCCUUUGAUGUCGUACAACAUGCAGGUACUGUCCUCCUGACCUGUGGCCAGCAGGCGUCCGCUGGGAUCCACUGCCACCGAAGCAACGGCACUCCCUGUGUGAGACAGAGUGAUAAUGACUGUGCUGUGUUCCAGAAAUCUUCAUGAAGCAUCAGUGCCUUCUUGUAGGUCAACGAACCGGUAGCAGUGUGGUAUAUAAAGGGUCUGUCCUAAUGAGAGUCAGGAUGCAACUCACCUGAGCCGUGCAAAGUUGUGCCCACCACCCGGACACAGCUUGGCACCCGCAGGUCCCAGAACCGCACUGUCUUGUCCUGGGAGCCAGAGGCGAUCAUCCACCCUCCCCAUGUGUACAGAGUCAGGAUGUGACCUGUUAAAGCAAAAUGGGAAAGAGCUGUGGAUAACGUACCAGUGUGUCCACUCAGGGCGUGAAGACCCUGUCCUCUCUGACAGUCUGUUGUGUAGAUGUUGCAGUCUCCGGCCCCGGCACUGAUCAAGAUGGAUCCUCCACUCUCAGGCCCCUCCAUAAAGGCCAGGUCCCUGAUGGUACCAUCAUGCAUGCUGAACUCCAGGUCUGGGCCUGAACCAGAGGCGUACAUUUGGGGUUGAAAAGAUAACAUUACCUCAAUACCCAGAGAAAGAUGAAUUGCAUUCUCUCAAUUAUUUUUCUUUAAACUGUAUUUUACCUGUGCUGCGUUUUUUUAUUUCACCAAAUCACUUUGACUACAACAGCAGAAAGUUGCUCUUACUUUAGAAACAUGCUCAUAGGUGUGUAAGUGAUCAUUCAAACAUAGCUGGUGAAAAUGGACAUUACUAAUCCCAUACACACUAAAACACAUAAGAUAAUACCUGUGGCGUUGCAGCUGUCUGCAUUGAAAGGCAGGACU